AGCGAACGCUGGCGGCAGGCCUAACACAUGCAAGUCGAACGGAUCCUUCGGGAUUAGUGGCGGACGGGUGAGUAACACGUGGGAACGUGCCCUUUGGUUCGGAACAACUCAGGGAAACUUGAGCUAAUACCGGAUGUGCCCUUCGGGGGAAAGAUUUAUCGCCAUUGGAGCGGCCCGCGUCUGAUUAGCUAGUUGGUGAGGUAACGGCCCACCAAGGCGACGCGCAGUAGCUGGUCUGAGAGGAUGAUCAGCCACACUGGGACUGCGACACGGCCCCGACUCCUACGGGAGGCAGCAGUGGGGAAUCUUGCGCACUGGGCGCAAGCCUGACGCAGCCAUGCCGCGUGAAUGAUGAAGGUCUUAGGAUUGUAAAAUUCUUUCAGCGGGGACGAUAAUGACGGUACCCGCAGAAGAAGCUCCGGCUAACUUCGUG
rnacentral:rRNA from 1 species